rnacentral:rRNA from 1 species
GUCGAGAAUCUUUCACAAUGGGGGCAACCCUGAUGGAGCGACGCCGCGUGGAGGAUAAGGUCUUCGGAUUGUAAACUCCUGUCAUGCGUGAACAAGGUUGCUUGGUUAAUACCUGGGCAAAUUGAUGGUAACGCAAGAGGAAGAGACGGCUAACUCUGUGCCAGCAGCCGCGGUAAUACAGAGGUCUCAAGCGUUGUUCGGAAUCACUGGGCGUAAAGGGUGCGUAGGUGGCGUGGUAAGUCAGAUGUGAAAGCCCGGGGCUCAACCUCGGAACUGCAUCAGAUACUGCCAUGCUAGAGUACUGGAGAGGUGACUAGAAUUCUCGGUGUAGCAGUGAAAUGCGUAGAUAUCGAGAGGAAUACCAAAGGCGUAGGCAGGUCACUGGACAGUUACUGACACUGAGGCACGAAGGCCAGGGGAGCGAACGGGAUUAGAUACCCCUGUAGUCC